rnacentral:rRNA from 1 species
GACGAACGCUGGCGGCGUGCUUAACACAUGCAAGUCGAACGAAGUGGCGAACGGGUGAGUAACGCGUAAUCAACCUGCCCUUCUGAGGGGGACAACAGUUGGAAACGACUGCUAAUACAGCAUACUGAAGGAGGGGAUUGCGUCUGAUUAGCUAGUUGGAUGGGUAACGGCCCACCAAGGCGAUGAUCAGUAGCCGGUCCGAGAGGGUGAACGGCCACAAUGGGACUGAGACACGGCCCAGACUCCUACGGGAGGCAGCAGUGGGGAAUCUUCCGCAAUGGACGAAAGUCUGACGGAGCAACGCCGCGUGAGUGAUGACGGCCUUCGGGUUGUAAAGCUCUGUUAAUCGGGACGCGGUACCGGAAUAGAAAGCCACGGCUAACUACGUGCCAGCAGCCGCGGUAAUAC